rnacentral:rRNA from 1 species
CCUACGGGGGGCAGCAGUAGGGAAUUUUCGUCAAUGGGCGCAAGCCUGAACGAGCAAUGCCGCGUGAACGAGGAAGGUCUUCGGAUCGUAAGGUUCUGUUGAAGGGGAAAAGGAGCGGAGAGAGGAAAUGGUCUCCGAUUGAUAUUACCCUUCGAGGAAGUCACGGCUAACUACGUGCCAGCAGCCGCGGUAAUACGUAGGUGGCGAGCGUUAUCCGGAAUGAUUGGGCGUAAAGGGUGCGUAGGCGGCCUGCUAAGUCUGGAGUGAAAGGUACCGGCUCAACCGGUACAGGCUCUGGAAACUGGCGGGCUAGAGAGCAGGAGAGGGCGGUGGAACUCCAUGUGUAGCGGUAAAAUGCGUAGAUAUAUGGAAGAACACCAGUGGCGAAGGCGGCCGCCUGGCCUGUUACUGACGCUGAGGCACGAAAGCGUGGGGAGCAAAUAGGAUUAGAUACCCCAGUAGUC